GAAGAAAAAAAUUCUUCCAAUUAAAUUAGUUGUUCUUUUGUUGUUCUUGUGACUCCAUUUUCUUGUCUUUGUCUCUUUAGAUUUUUUAAUUGUUUCUCUUUUUUUUUGGUUUUAUUAUUUGAUGAGUGGAUUAAUUAUUUAGAUGAUUUAAUGGAUUAAUUUUCUCUUCUAUUUCAAUGGUUACAAUUGAUGAUGAUUGUGGUUUCUAUUCUGUAUUCAGUCAUCUGACUUUUAUCUCAUUGGGAUAUCAUCAAUUUUCUUCUCAUGGAGUUACAAAGAUUUUCCUUUUGCCUUUUUCUAUUUGGACUCUUUUGGAUUCUAAAUUUUCAGUAAAUGGAGAUAAAUUGACUUUUGUUUUCUUCUAUUCUCUCUCUCUCUCUUUACCUCUCUAUAUCUCUCUGUGUGUGUAUUUAAUGUACUCAAUCCCUUUUUCUAUUGUGAAUUGUUGAUAUUUGGUUGAAUAUCCCCUUUGGAAAACCUGUAAUUACAUUUGAUUGUUGGUGAAUUUUUGACUCCAAUUUAAUUGCAACCAACAAGGAAUCAAAUCAUCGUAUAAUUAUUAUUAUCCCCACUUUCUCUCACUCUUUCAUAUGUUCAAAGUGAGAAAAUCAACUGGCCAUCAUCAAUUCAAGUCUUUAAUUACAAAGGAUGAUAAUUGUGUUUAUGCUGCCCAAUGGUUAAUUUAAUUAAGGUCAAUUGGUUAAAUACAAUUGGUAAUCAAAUAAGGUGACUUUCAUAAAGAUUAUUACAAAGAGAUGGACAAUCCCAAGUGAAAUUACUACUCUUUUGUUUGAGCUUUUCAACUUAUGGUUUACUGUUGGAGAUUCUCCUCUUGAAAUAUGCUCAUCAUUUUAAACUGAAAACAAACAUUAGAAGUUACUAGUUUUUUUCCCUGACUAUUACCAUGAAAUAAUCUGAUAAUUUGGUGGAUAAUAAAAUGGUGGAAAACCUCAUCGAGCUACCUUGAAAAUAAUAUUCAAAGAAAAGGAAUGGGAACAAAAGGUUGUUCCUUUAUCACCACUGGAACACAGGAGGAGAGGAAGAAAAAAUUGUGAAUUGUAUCUGAUUUUAUCAUGGAAAUUUGAUGCACCAGUUAAUUUAAAUUGGAUGUAAAAGAAAAACUCUAAAGAAACGUGAUGAUAAAGGAAGACAUCGGAAGAAAAAGGAAGAAGAAGAAGAAAAGAAAUCAAGAGGGGAAGAUGCGAGACGAAAUGGAUUCCUUAACAAGGAGAAAAUUAAAAAAGGAAUUACAGAAAAGUGAUUAGAAAAAGAAAAACCCAGUGAAUAAAUAGUCAACAAGCCUUUGGAAUUGUUAUCUAAUUUUGUUUAAAGUAACGGUGAAUCCAUAAGACAACAAUUAAGGAAACAACAACAACUACACACGGGGAAAAGACUGUAAUUUACAAGAAGCAAAGAAAAAAGAAAGAUUCAAAACCAUGGAGGGAACAUGUAAUGAACCAGAUAAAGGAAAAGGAACUCACAGAUAAAGUCGAAAGAGAAGAAGAUAAAAUGAGAAAGAAAAAAUUAUGCUAAGAAAAAGUUUAUCUGAGCAUGUAACUGGUGUAAUUUUUCUGCAUCAAUAGUGAAAAGAAAUAGUGAUGAUUACACCAAAGACAUGAAAAGGAAUGGAAUAAGAAGAAGGAGAAAAAAAUAGAAAGAAAAUCACAGAAUCAAACGAAUUGGAUAUAAAGAAGAGCUCAUGGAAUCAUCAAGAAGGAGAGUAAAAAAAAAUCGAAAGUUACAAUUGAUCAAGAGAAAAAGAAGACACAAAGGUCACACAAUCCAAGGAAAGAUAAAAAUUCGAAGCUGAUUUUGAUUAUCUUCUCGCUGUGUUCAUCUUCAGGGUUAUAUUUACAUGUUCCAAGUUCAUUGGUGUAUAUUUUUAUCAACGAUUUAAACAAAUUCACCAUCAGCUUGUCCUCGAUUAUCUUCAACAUCAUCAACUUACAAAAUCAAUUGAAUUCUGUUGAUGGAGGAUAUUUGUUGCUUCAUAUUAUUAUCUCCUUACUUUCCGCAUUCUUCCUCAUGAAUUCUGUUCCCCUGAAGGUUCUCCCUUUCUUACUCUUUUUUUAUUUGCAGGGAGAAAAUCACCAUUUUCUCUCUCGAUUGAAUUUCAUUGAUUUUCAAUCAUAAUCAAACUUCUUCUCUACUUUUUCUUUGCAUCCUUUUCUUUUAUCAUCAUUAUCACUAUUAUCUUCUCUCAUUCUCAUCUCUAUUUCUACAUAUUCUGUUGUUAUUGUUUUUUUUUCUAUUUCUAGUUCUACUCAAAUUCUUCAUCUUUUUCUUCUUCUCUUCGAACUUUGUUCUAUUUGUUUUUUUUAUCUUCGCUUUUCCAUUCAAUAGCAGUCAUUUAAACUCUACACCCCAGAACAGAACUCACUCCGUAUGAUCUUUCUCCAUCAUCAUCAUAAUCAUAAUCAUCAUUUUCUCUUAUUAGUUUUUUUUCAUAUUCUGUCGUCUCAUUUUCUCUAAGAAUCAUCAGAUAUUAUUAAUAGUAGAAAAAAAGAGCUCUCAUCAUAACCCAAGUCAAUUGAAAAUUUUCUUCUCUCUUCUGCCAUUUCAUCAUUUUUAGCUUGUUAGUUAACAUCAUCCUCCUCUUUAUGACCAUAUUCCAUAUCUAAUAAUCUUCAUGUAUUAGCUGAAUAUUCAUUUUUUUGCUCAUCUUCAUCAUGAGAGUAACUAUCAGCUAAUAUCAUUAACGAUUCAAUAUAAGCUGUUGUUGUUUUUUUUUCAUAUCUUUUGUGUCUUUCAUUCAUCAAUACUCGUUUGUAAUAAUAUCACUUUCGAUUUACCUAUUAUUCACCCUUCGUAAUGAUGAUAAUGAUGAUACAUGUUGUAUAUUCAUAAAUUGAAUCAAGGUGAACCAUUGAUUUAAUAUGAAAAAUGUCAAUAGUUAACAAGAGACAGACAAAUAACCCUUGAUAACUUUCAGGUUGACAUUUUUUUUCCGCCUGUUAAUACAUUACUCAACUCUAAGAGAUAUUGAAUCAACAGUGAAAACAAACCUAAUCAUGAUGAUUAUAAUUAUUCAAUAUGAUUCAAUAACAUCAUUUACUAUCUACUACCAUUUAUCUCUCCCUAUUUUCAUCAACAGCCAAUACAAAUUAAUUGCAUUCCCAUGUGGAAACGUUAAUUAAAUUAGACAUUCCUUGUUAUAUUAAUUGUAUGAAUUCAUAGAAUCUAUUUUGAUUGCUAACCACCUUAGCCUCUUGUAUUAUUAUAACGAUAAUAUCUCAAUAUUCCCGUUUAUCUUUACCCUUCAUCUCUCAAUCAUUAUAUUCUCUUUCUUUUCUUUCUUACAACUUUUUUUCUCUGUUUUCGAUUCAAAUGAGUUAUCGUAAAUACUUCGAGUAAUACAUAACGCAAAUGAUUGUAAACACUUUGAUAAUUUAAACAACAUCCUAACAACGAUUACGAUUAUUUAGAAUUAUUAUUUUAAUGAUGAUAAUUCGAUUACAUAAUAUGCUUUUUUCCUAACAAUUUCUCCAAUUUCAUAGAUUCUCAAUGAAAGAAAUAGAAAUUGUUUCCAUAGAUAGACGAUGAUGAUUAUGAUGAUGAUGAUGAUGAUGAUGAUGAUGUUUCCCUGAUGAGGAUAAACAUUGUUACGUUUAUCUUGACUUUUUUUCCUCUCCUUCUUAACCAUCCAAUUAGAAGUCUAAAUUAAUGUGAUCAAAUCAAUUUAAGGUGAACCAAAUCUUCAAUAAUCAAGAUCAUCUCCUGGACUAAUAAUCAGCCAUUUAUUUCAUCUAAUGAGUGAUUAUGAUUUAAUUGGAAAUUAAAACAAACUAAACUAUAAGAUUAUCCCUUUUCCAAUCAAAGAUUAAUGGCUUAAUCAAAUUACAACAUUUACGUUUAAUCUGAAAUCUUAGAUUUUAGUAUUUAAUCAACUCUCAUGGAGAAGAUGAAGAUUAAGCCUUGUAGGAAUUAAGG